rnacentral:rRNA from 1 species
AUUGAACGCUGGCGGCAGGCCUAACACAUGCAAGUCGAACGGUAACAGGAAGAAGCUUGCUUCUUUGCUGACGAGUGGCGGACGGGUGAGUAAUGUCUGGGAAACUGCCUGAUGGAGGGGGAUAACUACUGGAAACGGUAGCUAAUACCGCAUAACGUCGCAAGACCAAAAAGGGGGACCUUCGGGCCUCUUGCCAUCGGAUGUGCCCAGAUGGGAUUAGCUAGUAGGUGGGGUAACGGCUCACCUAGGCGACGAUCCCUAGCUGGUCUGAGAGGAUGACCAGCCACACUGGAACUGAGACACGGUCCAGACUCCUACGGGAGGCAGCAGUGGGGAAUAUUGCACAAUGGGCGCAAGCCUGAUGCAGCCAUGCCGCGUGUAUGAAGAAGGCCUUCGGGUUGUAAAGUACUUUCAGCGGGGAGGGAGGGAGCAAAGUUAAUACCUUUGCUCAUUGACGUUACCCGCAGAAGAAGCACCGGCUAACUCCGUGCCAGCAGCCGCGGUAAUACGGAGGGUGCAAGCGUUAAUCGGAAUUACUGGGCGUAAAGCGCACGCAGGCGGUUUGUUAAGUCAGAUGUGAAAUCCCCGGGCUCAACCUGGGAACUGCAUCUGAUACUGGCAAGCUUGAGUCUCGUAGAGGGGGGUAGAAUUCCAGGUGUAGCGGUGAAAUGCGUAGAGAUCUGGAGGA